UACGAACUGUGCGAACGUUAUUCGGAAUCACUGGGCUUACAGGGUGCGUAGGCGGCCAGACAAGUCAGGUGUGAAAUCCCCCGGCUCAACCGGGGAACUGCGCUUGAAACUGUUUGGCUUGAGUCAGCUAGAGGUAUACGGAACUUCCGGUGGAGCGGUGAAAUGUGUUGAUAUCGGAAGGAACACCAGAGGCGAAAGCGGUGUACUGGAGCUGUUCUGACGCUGAGGCACGAAAGCCAGGGGAGCGAACGGG
rnacentral:rRNA from 1 species